rnacentral:rRNA from 1 species
UACAGAGGGUGCGAGCGUUGUCCGGAAUCACUGGGCGUAAAGGGCGCGUAGGUGGCGCUCCAAGUCUGUGGUGAAAGCUCGAUGCUCAACAUCGAGUCGGCCAUAGAGACUGGAGGGCUCGAGCACUGUAGGGGCAGAUGGAAUUCCGGGUGUAGCGGUGGAAUGCGUAGAGAUCCGGAAGAACACCGGUGGCGAAGGCGGUCUGCUGGGCAGUAGCUGACACUGAGGCGCGACAGCGUGGGGAGCAAACAGG